GAAAAACUACAGGCAGCAGCAGCAAGGAGCUGCCAGUCUGCUCUGCAGCUGUAUUGAUCCAGGCUGGAGAAAUAGGGGGAGGCCUUUGGAAAGUAGAUAAACAGGGAGAUAUACAGCAGGAGAGGGCCAGAACUGAUGAAAACAGGAGAAAAUGCAGCUUAAAUCAAAGGGCAAAUACACGGAAAGAGAAAAGGCAAUAGGAUUUGUGUUCAUGGCUAAAGAGGAGAGUUGUGGGGCGGUGAUCCGCCCUGGGUAAUUGAAAAGAAAUGGAAAACGGAGCAUAGGAUAAAUAUUUUCUGCAGAGAAAGUGGGCUGAAAGCUUGAAAUAAGCCAUUAUUAAUAUCAGCCUGAAUCUGGGGAAAAUAUGCAGGGAGGGGGUUGUGGGUGAGGGAUGUGGAGUGGAAGUGAGGGAUCAGGGUGUGGAAUGGCUUCUACCUUCCCAAGGUGCCCCACCUCUGAGCGGGGCUGGGGCCAGGUGGGCAGGGCUCCUCUGGCUGGGCACAAGGCCGAGGAUCUCCUUCCUCACCUGCUCAACAGCAGUGGCCUUGUGCCCUGCCAGCCCGUGUGCACAGCUCCCUGCCUGCCCUGCAGCUCAGGGCACCCUCCAGAGCAGCUCCUGGGGCAGGGAUGAUAUAGGGAUGGGAUGGUAUAGGGCUGGGGUGGUAUAGGGCUGGGAUGAUAUAGGGCUGGGAUGAUGCAGGACAGGGGUGCUGCAGGACAGGGAUGAUACAGGGCUGGGAUGGUGCAGGGCUGGGAUGGUGCAGGACAGGGAUCCUGCCCCCCCCCCCCCCCCCCCCCCCCCCCCCCCCCCCCCCCCCCCCCCCCCCCCCCCCCCCCCCCCCCCCCCCCCCCCCCCCCCCCCCCCCCCCCCCCCCCCCCCCCCCCCGGGAUGCCCCCCCCCCCCCCCCCCCCCCCCCCCCCCCCCCCCCCCCCCCCCCCCCCCCCCCCCCCCCCCCCC
rnacentral:lncRNA from 12 species